rnacentral:lncRNA from 1 species
CAUCUGCAUUCAGAGCCUGGAAUCAGUGGGAGUGAGGAGCUGCUUGUGUAAACCCAGGGCUGGGGCUUCACAGCACCGUCCACUAGACCUUCUGCAAGGAAGGAAAUGCGCCAUCAUCUGUGCUGCCCAACGGGACGGCCCUGGCCACACUUUAAUCCUGGCUCGUGCAACUGGGAAACUGAAUUUUUAAAAAGAAUUUAAAUUUAAAUAACCACAGGAGGCGCUUGGCUACCAUAUUGGACACGGCAUACAAUACAGAUGGCUAGGGAAAGUGAGAGGUCACAGCGCCCUCCAAGUACCUUGUGCUCCUAUGAAGAGGGAGCAGCUUUCUGAAAUUUUUAACACCUUUCCAGAUGUGCUGAAGAGAUCUGUCCUAGAGAU